CUUGGCAUGAUGUGGAAACGAGGCUAAAAGAAGGCGCGCUGUAUCUAAACUGAUGUAAAUUGGCACAUCGGAACGAUAUUAUAGGAGGACGUCCUUCAAAAUGGCCUCCACGGCUGCUUCGUUCGUGACCGAAGUUCUGGCAACUGCUGGGAGCCUUAAAAAAGAAGACAUACCAACUACACAGCUGAACCAGCUAUCUGGUAAGAUACGGGAUGUAAAG